GCUGCAAGAUGACUAACAGGUGAGGGUCACAGGCAGGACAAACUGCCGUGAAUAUACCAGAGCUGUGUGACCCGUGACAGGAGAAGUUGGAGGAUCUCUGACCUAGUCCUACCUCAUGGGGAAAGAUCUUCACAACAACCCUGCAAGGACAGGUUCAGGAAAAGUGUGGUGGUCCUGAGUUUGUACAGUGAUGAAAUCGAGGGCAGAGAGACCAACAAGCUUCCUCAAGGUUGUACAGCUUAUGAACAGCAGAGCUAGAACCAUAAGUCCCUGGAAAGAAGUUCAAAGAUUUAAAGCUGCUCUUGAAUUUGGGAUCUUAAAGACUACUUGGCUUUUGGAAGCAUCCGGGCAGCCACAGCCAGGAUGGUAAACAAGGGAAGCACCGAAAGCAAGACAGAGGGCUGGACGUAGGCAAGUGGGAAUGGCCACCUCCCCAGUCACACCCCAGGGCCAUGAAACAUUAAGGCUGAUGACUAAAAAGAGGGAAGAAUAUAAAACGUCAGAGGAACCCAGGUGAAGGCUGGGCUCUGCCAGAAUUUAAAGAGAUGG
rnacentral:lncRNA from 1 species